UGGAUGAUGUGGAUUAAUUCGAUGCAACGCGAAAACCUUACCUACCCUUGACAUGUCUGGAACUUUGGUGAGAGCCGAGGGUGCCUUCGGGAGCCAGAACACAGGUGCUGCAUGGCUGUCGUCAGCUCGUGUCGUGAGAUGUUGGGUUAAGUCCCGCAACGAGCGCAACCCUUGUCACUAGUUGCCAUCAUUUGGUUGGGCACUCUAGUGAGACUGCCGGUGACAAACCGGAGGAAGGUGGGGAUGACGUCAAGUCCUCAUGGCCCUUAUGGGUAGGGCUUCACACGUCAUACAAUGGUCGGUACAGAGGGUUGCCAACCCGCGAGGGGGAGCUAAUCCCACAAAGCCGACCGUAGUCCGGAUCGCAGUCUGCAACUCGACUGCGUGAAGUCGGAAUCGCUAGUAAUCGUGGAUCAGCAUGUCACGGUGAAUACGUUCCCGGGUCUU
rnacentral:rRNA from 1 species